GGCGCGGUGGUGGAACGGUCUACACAAAGGAUUUAAAAUCCUUCGGUCUGUUAGGGCCUUGCGGGUUCGAAUCCCGCCCGCGCUACCA
rnacentral:tRNA from 1 species